rnacentral:pre_miRNA from 1 species
AUUUNACUCCCUCCGUCCGAAAAUACUUGUCAUUGAAAUGGAUGUAUCUAGAUGUAUUUUAGUUCUAGACACAUCCAUUUUGAUGACAAGUAAUUCCGGACGGAGGGAGUACUUG